rnacentral:rRNA from 1 species
UACAGAGGUCCCGAGCGUUGUUCGGAUUCAUUGGGCGUAAAGGGUGCGUAGGUGGCAAAGUAAGUUGGAUGUGAAAUCCUGGGGCUCAACCUCAGAAUUGCAUUCAAUACUGCUUAGCUAGAGAGCUGUAGAGGAGACUGGAAUUUACGGUGUAGCAGUGAAAUGCGUAGAUAUCGUAAGGAACGCCAGUGGCGAAAGCGAGUCUCUGGGCAGCAUCUGACACUGAGGCACGAAGGCCAGGGGAGCAAACGGG